rnacentral:misc_RNA from 1 species
GAUGAAGAACGUAGUGAAAUGCGAUACGUAAUGUGAAUUGCAGAAUUCAGUGAAUCAUCGAGUCUUUGAACGCACAUUGCGCCCCCUGGUAUUCCGGGGGGCAUGCCUGUCCGAGCGUCAUUGCUGCCCUCAAGCACGGCUUGUGUGUUGGGCCUCCGUCCUCCUCCCGGGGGACGGGCCCGAAAGGCAGCGGCGGCACCGCGUCCGGUCCUCGAGCGUAUGGGGCUUCGUCACCCGCUCUUGUAGGCCCGGCCGGCGCUUGCCGACACAUCAAUCUUUUUUCCAGGUUGACCUCGGAUCAGGUAGGGAUACCCGCUGAACUUAAGCAUAUCAUAACGAGGA